rnacentral:tRNA from 1 species
CAGAAUAUAGUUUAAGAAAAAUAUUAGUUUUGGAGACUAAAGAUAAUUAGAAUAUUUUAUUCUGA